GGGCCCGCACAAGCGGUGGAGUAUGUGGUUUAAUUCGAUGCAACGCGAAGAACCUUACCAGGGUUUGACAUCCUGCGAAUCUCUUGGAAACGAGAGAGUGCCUUCGGGAGCCGAGAUACAGGUGUUGCAUGGCUGUCGUCAGCUCGUGUCGUGAGAUGUUGGGUUAAGUCCCGUAACGAGCGCAACCCCUAUCCUUAGUUGCCAGCACGUAAUGGUGGGGACUCUAGGGAGACUGCCGGUGAUAAAUCGGAGGAAGGUGGGGAUGAGGUCAAGUCAUCAUGGCCCUUACGGGUAGGGCUACACACGUGCUACAAUGGGCAGUACAACGAGUCGCAAUACCGCGAGGUGGAGCAAAUCUCUUAAAGCUUGUCUCAGUUCGGAUAGGAGUCUGCAACUCGACUCCUUGAAGUUGGAGUCGCUAGUAAUCGCAAAUC
rnacentral:rRNA from 1 species